rnacentral:lncRNA from 1 species
AUGUAUUAAACGUGUUUAUUCCUAAAACAUGAAUUUAACAAACGAUCAGAAUAUAAAAACAAAAUAUGAACUGCAAUGUUCUGAAUUUGGAUGAUAGCAUUAGAUGAUCCCUCAAAAUAAGCUUCAAUUCGCUGCAUAAGCAAGAUAAAAAGUACAAGUCAUCAUCUUAAUUUCAAGGAGGUAAGAUUUAAUAAAAAUGAGGUUUUAAAUAAUGUGAAGAAUCGAAGAACUUUUCAGAGAGAAUUAUAACUUACAGUGGCUGUUAUGGACGUAGACCUUAAGGAUAUUAUUUCCCAUGUACUCUUGUUCUUGUUCGAUAUUUCUGGCAGAUUCCUCAGAAAUAGUGCUGCAAUCAUGUAACUCAAUUGAUUCCAAAGUACCAAUUUCCCCGAAAUCUGUUGGAAUUUCUUGCAGGUCUUUGCAAUUCUUCAGAACAAGACGUUUUAAAUAUGGAAAGUUAACACUGCUAGCUUCCCAAUGCUUAAGAUUUAGCUGGCUCAGUAACAACAACUUCAAGCUUUUGAAUAUGUCUUUGUCAUUCAAUCUCCAUAUAUCAUCUUCGGCUUGACAAUAUUUAAGUUUGAGCUCUUCAAGAUGUGGCAACUUGAUAAAAGUUGAUGAUAUCUCUUCCCAAAUAAACUUAUAACACCUAGUUAAAGACACGCUUCUAAGUGAUUUUGGAAAAACAAUCUUGAUGGAGUCUUCCAAAUAAAAUUCGCAGUAAAACUUGAAUGUCUCAAGUUUUGUCAAGCUGGACAUAUCCAAGAGACGAUACGGAAUAUUGCGUAGUAUGCUCGAAGGUACACGAAUGAUCAAUCUCUUUAGAUUGGGAGUGCUAGAAAUGACUUCAUUUGUACAACUAGAGUAACAAAUACUGUAAAAUUCCUCUAGAUUUGGCAUCCCUGUCACAAGAUUGUUAUCUAUUCUAGGACUCGGUAAAUAAGUGGCUCCCCCUAAACGUAUAUACCUCAAGUUCUUCAACAUCCAUACCUUCCUAGGUAAAGUUAUAUCUAAAGAAUGACCAUCACAAAUUAGAGUUUGCAAAUUCAGAAGCUCUGAGAUUGAUUCAGGAAUAUUGCCAUAACAUCGAACUUGGAGAUAUCUCAAAUGAAAUAACUUUGUAAUCACAAGUGGAAAUGAGCCGAACCAGGCAGGGAAGAUGGCCAAUUCCCUGAGAUGGUUGAAACAAGAGAAAAAUCCAUGUAUUAUAGGAUCAUGAAGGUAGAUGGGCAAUAUAGGGAGAAGUUUAAUACGGGGUUCAAAAGGUAGAUCCAAGUAAGAAAAGCAGUAGAUAGAUCUGGCUACAGGGGGUAAGAGCUUAUAAGCAUCCUCAAUACACUUCUGAAUACUGAAGCGACGAAAAUUAGGCUUUUGUGCUGGUGAAAAUGGAGUUCUCACAACAUGCAUAAACUUUGUCAUUUCAGCUUCUAUCAAACAGAACUCACGCAGCAGAUCAUGUAUUCCGCAUACUUUUACCUCACCAUUGAAUCUCUUUUUUCUAGCCAUUAUCAAGUUCCACGUGCUAUUGCAGGUAUCUUAGCUUUUAGAUGAAUUCUAGUUAAUCAUUUUUGAAUUGGAAGGUUUCAGACACUACUGCAUCCUUUUGGAAGUUGGAAACAGAACAAGCAUCUUCGUGUAAGCUUGAGUACUAGUGAUCAGAAAACCAAUAAGCUUUCUCCGGGAAAAUUAUCUUCCUUAAAUAUGUAACUGAAACUUAGGGAUGACAAUGGGGGUGGAUUCUAAUAUUGGCCUGACAUUCUGAAGUUAGUCUGAAUCUUCUAUAAUCACAAAACAAUGAACAGUACUUGAUGGUGUUGAGGUAUGAGGUUAUACUGCAUAGCAUAGUAUUUGCAAGGUAGAUUAUGAUCGUACCUGAUGAAAGAAAUCAGGAUAUAAAACAAACAGUGACGAAUUUCAAUUCAUAUUUGCUGACAAUUUUUUAAAGUGAACUUCUCAUAGCUAAAAUAUACUUUCACACUUGUUAACCAAGAGAGAUGGCAGAUGCAGUUGUGAACUUUCUGGUGGAGAACUUGUUGCAGCUAUUAAGUGAAAAUGUGGGGAUGAUUAAAGGCGUAAAUGACGAAUUCAACAAUUUGUUGGAAGAAGUUCAACGCCUGAAAGUGUUCCUUGACGAUGCCCUUUAACUUAGCCUCGUCUGUCAUCUAUGCCCUUUAACACAAUUUGUCAAAUCCAAGUCUAUAAACCAUCUUCUUUUCUUGAACUUGUAUUGAACUAUAUUCAAGAGCUAAGGAAACGGAUGUCAAUGCCAAUCAGUUAAAUGGGAAAGCUAAGUAACCAACAAUAUCUUAGCUUAAAUGUAAUUCAUCGUCUACUUAUUUCUACUCUUUGACAUUCCUAUUAGAAGCUAGAUUACAUACUGAAACUACCAAGUACCAUCCAUGAGAAAUGUUAUCGAUAUCCAGCAUCUCAAAUCACAUAUAGCACCGUCCAUCAACGAAAAACAUGUAUUAUACAUGAACAGAGGAAAACAGAUUCAAAGUGUGAAACCAGCAAUUCUUAUACUCCAUAGGCAAUGCAUAAUAGUUUGAACAUCCUUAUUUCAAACUGUCACAUAAAACAAAAUAGAUGUUACAUGAGUACAUCACUAGUUACUGUUUACAAAAUACAAAAAAAACACAAUUGGCCGAGACAUGUAUUAAACAUGCUUAUUCCUUAAACAUGAAAUUAACAAACGAUCAGAAUAUAAAAACAAAAAUAUGAACUAUGAGGUUCUGAAUUCGGAAGAUAGCAUUAGAUGAUCCCUCAAAAUAAGCUUCAAUUCCCUGCAUAUGCAACAUAAAAAGUACAAGCCAUCAUCUUAAUUUCAAAGAACUAUGAUUUAAUAAAAAGGCAUAAAACAUAAAUAUGUCCUUUAACUUGGCUUCAAAUCACAUUUAUGCCCUUCAACUUUGGGAGUGCACAAGUAGACACACAUGUCCUACAUGUAAUUUUUUGUCCUACGUGGUAUCCUACGUGGAUUGUGCCACGUAGGACUCAUGUGUCUACUUGUUCAAGUUUAUACAAGUUUAAUUACCUACUUGUGCACAUCCAAAGUUGAAGGGCAUAAAUGUGAAAUGAGGCCAAGUUAAAGGGCAUAUUUGUGUAUUAUGCCUAAUAAAAAUGAGGUUUUAAAUAAUGUGAAGAAUCGAAAAAACUUUUCAGAGAGAAUUAUAACUUACUGUGGCUGUUAUGGAUGUAGACCUUUAAGGAUAUUAUUUCCCAUGUACUCUUGUUCUUGUUCGAUAUUUCUGGCAGAUUCCUCAGAAAUAGUGCUGCAAUCAUGUAACUCAAUUGAUUCCAAAGUACCAAUUUCCCCGAAAUCUGUUGGAAUUUCUUGCAGGUCUUUGCAAUUCUUCAGAACAAGACGUUUUAAAUAUGGGAAGUUAACACUGCUAGCUUCCCAAUGCUUAAGAUUUAGCUGGACUCAGUAACAACAACUUCAAGCUUUUGAAUAUGUCUUUGUCAGUCAAUCUCCAUAUAUCAUAUUCGG